rnacentral:rRNA from 1 species
CGAACGGUAACAGGAAGCAGCUUGCUGCUUCGCUGACGAGUGGCGGACGGGUGAGUAAUGUCUGGGAAACUGCCUGAUGGAGGGGGAUAACUACUGGAAACGGUAGCUAAUACCGCAUAACGUCGCAAGACCAAAGAGGGGGACCUUCGGGCCUCUUGCCAUCGGAUGUGCCCAGAUGGGAUUAGCUAGUAGGUGGGGUAACGGCUCACCUAGGCGACGAUCCCUAGCUGGUCUGAGAGGAUGACCAGCCACACUGGAACUGAGACACGGUCCAGACUCCUACGGGAGGCAGCAGUGGGGAAUAUUGCACAAUGGGCGCAAGCCUGAUGCAGCCAUGCCGCGUGUAUGAAGAAGGCCUUCGGGUUGUAAAGUACUUUCAGCGGGGAGGAAGGUGUUGAGGUUAAUAACCUCAGCAAUUGACGUUACCCGCAGAAGAAGCACCGGCUAACUCCGUGCCAGCAGCCGCGGUAAUACGGAGGGUGCAAGCGUUAAUCGGAAUUACUGGGCGUAAAGCGCACGCAGGCGGUCUGUCAAGUCGGAUGUGAAAUCCCCGGGCUCAACCUGGGAACUGCAUUCGAAACUGGCAGGCUAGAGUCUUGUAGAGGGGGGUAGAAUUCCAGGUGUAGCGGUGAAAUGCGUAGAGAUCUGGAGGAAUACCGGUGGCGAA